GAGCUUCAAGAAAAGUGUGGUGAUGAAGAUGCACAAACUGACAACAGUACAGAAUCAGACGGGCCUGCAGUUACAGACUUUCUGUAAGGGGGCUAAAAGGCAGCACAGGAAACACUCGGCGCUGGAUGGAUUGUGUGGGGCCACGAGCUCGGUGGGGCUUCACAAGCAGGAGGGAGAGAAGAGGAAUCGGGGGCCGCAGGGGUCAACUGCCUAGUAAAGACUCAUCCCAGAUUUUUAUUGUAGGCCAUUGGGGACAUUUAGAAAAUAGAUUAUUGUUAACAAGUCUAAUAAAAUGGCGGCUAUGGAAAGUGAAGGCCAGCCCUAAUUACCCAUUUCCAGAGAAUGAAAUACACCUUCCAUUUACACCAUGUAAUUAAGCAUUCAGUGCUUUAAAACUGACUUAUUAGACAAUUAAACCUGCAUCAUCAUCAUCAUCAUCAUCAUUUUAUUUAGUCUUUCUUCGGUUUGGUACUGUGCACUUUUAACCAAAUAGCCGGCAGAAAUUUAAUUUUCUCCUGAUUAAUGCUUAUGUACAAAAUCAAUUAUGUGCAAAAUCAGUGUUAGGCUUGGAGCCUCUUGGCCGCUGUGCCUCGCAGGAUGCUGAUUGGCUGUCUUGGCAAGCGGAACUCUGGCCAGUCACAGGAAAGGCCCCCCCGCCCCCACUCCGAGCUCGUAAGUCACUCAUCCUCUGCAGGAUUUCUGGUUUGGACUACAGUAUUUAUAAAACUGUAGAAAUGGGGGGGAGUUUCCAUUGUGAAAGUGUCUACUAAGCAUCAUAAAAAAGGGCAACUUUCAUUUUGAUUUUGCCCCAAGUCUGGUUCCAUUUCCCCCUUAUUCCCAAAAAUAAGUCUUAAAAUGAAACCCAGGCCCACAGAUAAAUCCCAGCAUCCCGCAAUAAGCGACAGGGACCCACUGGUGUCCUGGUGCUUCACCACCUGCGGCAAACCCCACUAACUUUGCUGUCCAAUUUCACUUUUUCUUGGAUGGCGUGUGGCAGGGGGUGGGGGCCAAAGAGACCUCUAGAGCUCUCUUACGUCGCCCCCCCCUCCCCCACCCAGACAAUGGUGCCCAAGGAGUCUGUAGGAGCUGAAAUCCAGGCUAAAUAAGUACAUACUGUUUGACUCACAGGACACAGGCCAGCUGCUCAGUAUCAGAAUGGGCUCCUUCCCAUGAUUAUGCAGCUUCUGGUAUAAAUACAGCCUUAGCAAGCAGCACAGGAAACCAUUAGAUCUCUGCCAUCAGCAUAUUCUAUCUUCUGUGAGUUAACUAUUGUUAGGAAACAUUUUAUUACUACUACUGUAGGCAGCUCUAUGGAAACAGUCUUGCAAAUUGACUUUUUUUGAAGUUCCUUAAUCUUUGAAGGCAGUCUUCCUUCUGUGUUUUCUGCUUCUGAAUUACAAUGAAUGCAACUUACAAAAUCGUUCCCUAAACUCACACUGUGCACUUCAGGACCAGCCUCCCCUAACAUGCUCCUGUGCCUUUUUAUGAGCAAUAAAAACGCGCAUCUACAUGUUGGCAAUGGAAAGUUUUUCCAAAGGAACCUUUGUCUUGAUAAAAUUUCAGCAGUCGUAACUCAAACAAAUAUGACAUUUACAGCAGCCAUUCAAAGCAAAACAAAUACUCCUUGAAAUAGUUCCUUUUCCUUUUAGGAGAUUAUUCCCCUGGAUAAGACUGAGAUGGGUCAGGAUAAUCCUAAAAGUACCUUAUUGCUGUUUGACUGUAACCUGAAUGCAUGUGGUCUUGCUAAUAAUUAAUUCUGUCGGAGGAUGAUUUUUGUUUAACGAUUUAUAAAUCAAACACCAUUAAAAUCCUACAACAAACAGAGAAAUAGAUGGCUUUUUGGAGGAAAUAUGUGUCACCCAUAGAUCUCAAAAUAAAAGAACUAUUUUAUGUAAGUACUGCCAAGAAUUCAGUACCCAGCAACGAUUACUCAUGCCUUCAGAAAAUGUACUUUAGGUUAUUAAAAUAAGAAGAAGUGCUGUGGGAAUGAAAAGCGUAUGAAAUGAGAAUGUAUCUUGAACCCAGUGGUUGGUUGUAAAGAGCGCUUUCACCAUGCAUAACGUGAAAUCCUGUUAUUAAAACAUGCCACAGUGAGGAAAUGCUGUGAGUAUCAUGUUUAAGCUCAUGAAUAUCAUGCGGAUUUUAGGGUGGGAUAAUAUUACUCUGCAUUAGCCCCCAGACAUAUGCAGGUAAUUUAAAUCUGUGUAAGCACAGGCAUGUAUGAUCUCCCUCAGACAGCCAGUGAGGGAGAACUGGUUGACUUCACUGGCUGCUCUUUAUAACUGACUUCACUCUUUGUCUCAUUGUUUAUGAUUUUGUCAUGAGUCAGAAUAGCCUUCCACGGGCCUCCAGACAACACGAUCUGACUUCCAGAUGAGGAAUGUCGCUGUAAAUAUUCAAAUUGUUAUUGAGAUCAACCGUCCGCUAUUAAGAUCCGGACCUGGGCUCGGUGCCGUUUGCCCCGUCAGGAGGGAGUCUCACACUGACUCUGUACCAGAGACCUCCAGCAUGCUGUUGUAUCAAACCACAGAACAGCACUGGGCCAUCAGGGUGAGCGAGAUGGUUAAACUGCUCUUUCUCGUCAGGUGUGCUGCUGCUCAGUGUCAGGGAAAAGAUAUAUGAUGUGUAGCAUACUUUAUUAUUCACCUUACAUGUUACAAGGCACUUUCCCAUUUAUAGCCCAUAAUCUUGCUGAAGUGAAGUUGAGUUUAGUCUUGUAUGGUAUUUCCUCUGCCUGACAUGAAGGUUCUAAAAAAGUGCAUUUGAGGUGAAAAGUCUUUGCAGUACAUAUCUUAAAUGCAAUCUGAAUGAACUCCAUCAGUGUCACCAUAAUAUGGAUCCUGUAUAAUCCUGCAGAAACAAGCCUGUUUAAUGACGGUCCAAAUGUUCUUCCUAAAGAUUCUUAUCUGCCUGAAUUGAAGCAGGUUCUGUCACGGCUUCUCCCCCAAAUCUGUUAAGACUCCGAAUUGUAUACCAGUCUCAUUAUACAUCAGACCUGCCACUACACUGGUCACUUUAUCCAAAGGACACUGCACCUUUUGCUACAUCUGUGUCACAACUGUUAUAUUUAUUCAUUUAUUUGCUUGUUUAUUUAUUCAUUCACUUUUGUAAAUCAAGAUUUCUAGAUUUCUGCUUUCUCUGCCAUAACCGGGUUCCCCAAAUCCCCUGUGUGUUAAUGUUUGUAUAUUCUGUAUUAUUUAUAUUUAUUAGUUGUCAAUCUACUUUUUGUGCCACUGUAUGCUGUGAAUUGUAUACAGAUGGUGUGACAAGAAAGACCCACUUGACUUGAUAUUGCUUUAUUAUUGCAUGAUAUGAUAAAAAGCAGAAUACCUGACCAUUCGGGUAUAGAAUUUUGCAUAUAUAUUAACAUGUAUGGUUUUGAAAUUUUUAUUGCGCAAGGAAAAGGUGGAGCUUUGACACAUUUAGCAGAAAUGUAUCAGUCAAAGCAAAUGAUGGCGUUUGUUCUUAAUGAGUUUGCUUUUCUUAAGUGGGAAGUGACACAAAGCCAAGCCUGAGAGUAACCAACCCUGCAGCACCGCAAGGCACACGGCCUGCAAAUUCCCCCAAAUGCUUCUGUAACAGAGACCCCCGGCUUCAUUAAAAACUGGCAUGACAUGGAAAGGAAUAUCACCUUCCAGGCAGGCUGGGGCAGGACAGAUCAAAGGGCAUGUUGAGCCAAUCACACUGGAUCCAUGUUACCCCGGCUGCAUAUUGUGGAUAUUACACCAAGGUCGUGUCAGUAUAGGAGACUUUGUAUCGCUAAUAGUCAACUCCAUAUUACUGUACUUAGGGACUUUUCAUUAACCCAGUUCAGUUAUGACACAUUUUAUGUUGCUGGAUCCACAUGAGCUGGCUUGUAAAAAUGAGGCUUUGUAAACUGAGAUGGACUAAUGUAUUACAUGUAAGCCUUAUAUAAUAAUUACAAUAAGAGGACUGCCUUUCAGCUUAAUGAAAACUCUCAAACCGUGAAAUCAGAAAGAAAAAAAUAGUGUGCUCACAAUUUCUAGCCUGAAUUAUCCCAGUUUUGAAGGUCAAAUGUGGCUGAAGCUGUUUGAUGUGCUGGAAAUGACUAUGCAUGUAACAGACCUGCAUUAUGAUGACAUGAGAAGAGUUAUGUGGUUCUGGUUCACAUUACCGCCUUUUUGCUGUCAGUUAGACUUUAUCUGUGGGCUGGGCCUCAACGGGGGGGAUGCGGGGGGGUGGAGAGGGACUGUUUCAGGACCACUGACAAUGUUGGCCGGAUGCCAUUAGGGGGGCGUUACUUACAGUAUACCAAAAUGAAUGGUCUGACAUUUGUCAGACCACUGCAUGUAUGAUAUUUCAGCACUAUGUGUCUGUUAGUUUUAACUUGCACAAUAAAGACUUUCCUGGUGGGAUUAUCUCUUCUCUUUGUGCAGCACCAUGAGAUGCAGAGUUUUGUUAUUAUAUAUAUUAUUAUAUAUAUAUUUUUUUAGUUUGACAGAACAAUGUUACCUGCAGCAAAUUGUACUUAAUACCAUGUUUAAAUGAUAGAAUGUUUAUGUUGUGACAGUGGCUGACAGCAAUGGAGAGAUUCCAGAGUCGAUGCGCUAAAAUAAAACAAAAAAAAGUU